AAGAGGCUAUUGACAAGUGUAGAUUUGCCCAGGCCAGACUCUCCUGAGAGGAGAGAGGACAGAGGCACCAAAUCAGAAGCCCUUUUCAGCCCUCACCCCAGCUGUUCUUCAUCUCCACUCAGGAAGCAGCUUUCAACCCUGCAAGCCGUCUUUACUACCUUCAAUUGAAAAGAUGAGCUCUGGAGUGACAAACAUGGAUGAUCUGUGGGAGUCCUCAGAUGCUGAUCGAGCUGUCACACGGGGCCCUUCUCUGGGCUGUCUUAUAGUCUGCAGAGACACUGCUGCUUCUGUGCUCUGGGAGAGAGGGACUCCUUGGAGAUCUGAUCUCAGUAGUAGUCAUAAUCCUUUGGAUGGGUUCAGUUUGUACUGCUUCAUCUUUUGGAUUCUAGAAAUUCUCAGGGACUCAUCCAGAGAAGGAAACAGCCAGAAGAUCCUAUGAAGACAAGGUCAAACCAAAUAUGCUGUGUUAACCCCAGUUUUAAUAAGGUACAAAGUUGCCCCAAUUUUGUUUGAAACUGUACUGUGUACAAGUU